rnacentral:rRNA from 1 species
GAGAGGAUCGGGCGGUUCCCCCUUCGGGGGACGAGGGUGACAGGUGGUGCAUGGUUGUCGUCAGCUCGUGUCGUGAGAUGUUGGGUUAAGUCCCGCAACGAGCGCAACCCUCGACCUUAGUUGCCAGCAUUCAGUUGGGCACUCUAAGGUGACUGCCGGCUAAAAGUCGGAGGAAGGUGGGGAUGACGUCAAAUCAUCAUGCCCCUUAUGACCUGGGCUACACACGUGCUACAAUGGGCGGUACAAAGGGUCGCGAACCCGCGAGGGGGAGCCAAUCCCAAAAAGCCGCUCUCAGUUCGGAUUGCAGGCUGCAACUCGCCUGCAUGAAGCCGGAAUCGCUAGUAAUCGCGGAUCAGCAUGCCGCGGUGAAUACGUUCCCGGGCCUU